CAGAAAGACCCUAUGAAGCUUUACUGUAACCUGAAAUUGAAAUUGGACUUUAGUCGCGCAGCAUAGGUGGGAGGCUUUGAAGGUGUUUUUGCGGAAACACUGGAGCCAUUAGUGAGAUACCACUCUUCUAAUGUUAGAUUUCUAACUUUGAACCAUUAUCUGGUCAAAGAACAGUUUCAGGCGGGCAGUUUGACUGGGGCGGUCGCCUCCCAAAUGGUAACGGAGGCGUACAAAGGUUUCCUCUGAACGGGUAGAAAUCGUAUCUAGAGUGUAAAGGCAUAAGGAAGCUUGACUGUGAGACCUACAAGUCGAACAGGGACGAAAGUCGGUCUUAGUGAUCUGACGGUACUGAGUGGAAAGGCCGUCACUCAACGGAUAAAAGUUACUCUAGGGAUAACAGGCUGA
rnacentral:rRNA from 1 species